UUAUAGAUUGGUGUUUAUGAUUUCCAAAUAUGCGUUAGAAAAUGAUUUUUGUCAAUGUUAUUUUAAAACAAAAGAGCAUGGUGGUGGUUAUGGAGUUUAACAAACAAGAAAAAUGAACAUAAUGUCACAUUUCGUCCUCCUUUAAAAGUGUAAAAAAUCGAAUACUAUUCUCAACUUAAGUAGUCAUUAAAUAUAGAUGAUAUCGAGGCUUUCGGUUUAGUCGCCAAAUUUUACUUUGCGCAGUCUCUCGUCUAUGUUGCUUUUUUUUUGGUGUUUUUACUUUUUAAAUUUCAAAUUUAUGAAAUUUAGGCGUGAAUAUUGAUGACCAUAUAAAGCAUAAAAGUUCAAAUAGACUAAAAAUAAUUUGUGCGAUUUUUCGAUGGUUGAUGUUCGACCUAGGGAUUUACCGCAGAACUUUAGCUCUUCCAAUCAACCGUUAUUACCUCGAAAGGUAUAACAACUCAACAAGACCUUAUAUUGUCUCCAAUUCUAUAUGUUACGUUAUGCUGUUAUAAACAGAAGAAACGGUGUAUCUGCUGUUGAAUAAGUUUUUGCAUUCUUAUCACUUGGAUGUAUUAUUACAUUUCGU